UCUCCUUUAAUCCGCUUUGAGAGAAUCCCUCUAUGCUUCCAAGGCCGAGCGUUUUCUCAGUCCUGUUCCUUAAGCGUGGACUGCUUUAACUUGAGAUAGUGGAUACUACAUCAAUUUCUCCAUCCAAAAAGAGCGAGGAGAUCAGUAGCAUCAACCAAGUGAUCAAGUCGCGCGACAAAUUCUAUGAGCAAUGAAGCAAAAGUGGCCAAGGAAAGAGCUGCAGUGCUUUCAAAGACUCAGUGGAGCAUAAGAAUAGUGCUGUAAGUAAGAUCUCAAACAGAGAAUAAGAACAAAGACCUGAAUCUCUGAAUGCAGGCAGCCGUGCAAAGCCAUAACCUCAUAGGCGCAGUGCCGGAGCACCGCCCCAACCU